rnacentral:misc_RNA from 1 species
UAAUACUCUAAAAUCUGCAUUUUGCUAAUAUAAAAUUUUAAGUUUGAUUACAAUUGUUUUAAUUUUAAAUGUUGGAAUAUAUGGUCUAAAAAUAAAAUAUUUAGUAAAAAAGUUUGGCUUUUUUUGUCUAAUUAGCCCAUUACUUGGCUAAGAGAACAGUAGGAAAACUUAAUAAUACAGACAGACGGGUAGCUGGAAACUUUUCCUUACGUGUUGUUGGCUGUUCUAGGACAGAAUGGGUCCAAUUCGCAUUGUCUUUUCUUUUACCACAUAUAUCUUGACUACGAAACCAAACUUGCACAACUCUACAAACUAAGUUCCCUUGAAAAGUAGAUUCAAAUUCAUCUGGUCUUGAGAGGUUCAACUCUUGUCCGUUGUUACGGCUAUCC